rnacentral:rRNA from 1 species
GAUGAACGCUGGCGGCGUGCCUAAUACAUGCAAGUCGAGCGAACAGACGAGGAGCUUGCUCCUCUGACGUUAGCGGCGGACGGGUGAGUAACACGUGGAUAACCUACCUAUAAGACUGGGAUAACUUCGGGAAACCGGAGCUAAUACCGGAUAAUAUAUUGAACCGCAUGGUUCAAUAGUGAAAGACGGUUUUGCUGUCACUUAUAGAUGGAUCCGCGCCGCAUUAGCUAGUUGGUAAGGUAACGGCUUACCAAGGCAACGAUGCGUAGCCGACAUGAGAGGGUGAUCGGCCACACGGGAACUGAGAAACGGUCCCGACUCCUACGGGAGGCAGCAGUAGGGAAUCUUCCGCAAUGGGCGAAUGCCUGACGGAGCAACGCCGCGUGAGUGAUGAAGGUCUUCCGAUCGUAAAACUCUGUUAUUAGGGAAGAACAAAUGUGUAAGUAACUAUGCACGUCUUGACGGUACCUAAUCAGAAAGCCACGGCUAACUACGUG